GAUGAACGCUGGCGGCGUGCCUAAUACAUGCAAGUCGAGCGAACAGACGAGGAGCUUGCUCCUCUGACGUUAGCGGCGGACGGGUGAGUAACACGUGGAUAACCUACCUAUAAGACUGGGAUAACUUCGGGAAACCGGAGCUAAUACCGGAUAAUAUAUUGAACCGCAUGGUUCAAUAGUGAAAGACGGUUUUGCUGUCACUUAUAGAUGGAUCCGCGCCGCAUUAGCUAGUUGGUAAGGUAACGGCUUACCAAGGCAACGAUGCGUAGCCGACCUGAGAGGGUGAUCGGCCACACUGGAACUGAGACACGGUCCAGACUCCUACGGGAGGCAGCAGUAGGGAAUCUUCCGCAGUGGGCGAAAGCCUGACGGAGCAACGCCGCGUGAGUGAUGAAGGUCUUCGGAUCGUAAAACUCUGUUAUUAGGGAAGAACAAAUGCGUAAGUAACUAUGCACGUCUUGACGGUACCUAAUCAGAAAGCCACGGCUAACUACGU
rnacentral:rRNA from 1 species